rnacentral:rRNA from 1 species
UGGUCAUUUAAGAGNAAGUAAAAAGUCGUAACAAGGUUUCCCGUAGGGUGAACCUGCGGGAAGGGAUCAUUAUCGAAAUGUAAUNUCUAGGACUGUCGCUGGGCUCUGCAUGUGCACGUCCUUGCUCAUUCAUAUACACACCUGUGCACCUAGUGUAGGUCCUGGCAAAAGGAUCUAUGUUUUUCACUUCACAUCCUUAUCGUAUGUCUAUAGAAUGUUAUCAAAGACCUUCAGACCAGGCCUUGUGUCCUUGGUCAGUCGGUCACUAUCAUAUCAUAUACAACUUUCAGCAACGGAUCUCUUGGCUCUCGCAUCGAUGAAGAACGCAGCGAAUUGCGAUAAGUAAUGUGAAUUGCAGAUUUCCAGUGAAUCAUCGAAUCUUUGAACGCACCUUGCGCUCCUUGGUAUUCCGAGGAGCAUGCCUGUUUGAGUGUCAUUUCAUUCUCAACCAUGCAUGUCUUGAUUGACUUGACUUGGCUUGGAAUUGGGGGUUUGCUGGCAGUGGCCGUUCCAUCGUCAGCUCUCCUGAAAUGCAUUAGCGAUCAUCCUAAUUGGCAUGCACGGCCUUUCGACGUGAUAAUGAUCGUCGAGGGCUGGAGUGUAUGUACUGAUUGCUUCUUCUUAAACAACAUUGCUUUUGGUUAUUAGCUGGUCACGGCGAACACCAAAGCAGGUUGGAAACUUGACCUUGAUCUUGACCUCAAAUCAGGUAGGACUACCCGCUGAACUUAAGCAUAUCAAUAAGCGGAGGAAAAGAAACUAACAAGGAUUCCCCUAGUAACUGCGAGUGAACCGGGAAAAG